AUGUGCCUCCCCUCCGCCCCCACCAGGCACCUUAUUUUAAAAAACAAAAACAAAAACACCUUUUAUUUUUUUAAAAAAUCUAACCUUGGAAGUUUGCUCGAGGUAGGACCUGCUUCUCCAUGUUGGUGUGGAGCUUGGCGGACGCUGUUGAGAGGCCACAUAGAGCUCCUCCUCUGUUCCCUGAGAGCUCCCAUGGGACCAGCUCACACAUCUGGGGUAGCCAAGAGAUGGAUACCAUGAAGGGCUCGGGGAAGUUCCCUGCACUCAGGGGUCUAUAAAUUCAUGCAUCUUCUACCACAAUUAGCUUGGUGACUUGCUGGCCUCAUGCACAAUUUUGGUUUCAGUUUUCUCAUUUGUUAAAUCACGAUGUGGGGUUUGGUUGAUCUUUGAGUUUUCUUCUACCCAUAAAAUUCUACGUUUUGAAUUUUCUGUCAUUUAGAGAAUCCAUUAAUGUGAGCAUGAUUUUUUAUAUCUAGUUAUUUUCAAUUGAUAGGGAACUUGACUGUAAAAAAGAAUAUAGCAAUUCUGUUAUGCAGUGCAAAUCAAUAAAAUGAAAAUGUAUCCAUUGACAACAUUUGUAUUUUCACCUAUUACAGAGCUGUGCCCUCUCUUUGAAUACAAUACACUUUUAUGCCCCAUUAAAGCAUGCUUGACAUAGCUUUCAACUACUUGCAAAUGCUGAGAAGUUGAAAAACAUAACAUUUACAAAAGAUACAUCUGGU
rnacentral:lncRNA from 1 species